GCGGGUGUGGCGGAACUGGCAGACGCGCCGGGUUUAGGUCCCGGUGGGCUACGGCCCUUGGAGGUUCAAGUCCUCUCGCCCGCA
rnacentral:tRNA from 1 species